CCUACGGGAGGCAGCAGUGAGGAAUAUUGGUCAAUGGCCGGAAGGCUGAACCAGCCACGCCGCGUGAAGGUCAGUGCCCUAUGGGCGUUAAACUUCUUUUGUGCGGGAGCAAUAAUGGUCACGUGUGGCCAGACGAGAGUACCGUACGAAUAAGCAUCGGCUAACUCCGUGCCAGCAGCCGCGGUAAUACGGGGGAUGCAAGCGUUAUCCCGAAUUAAUGGGUUUAAAGGGUGCGUAGGCUGGGAGGUAAGGCAGCGGGGAAAUGCCCCCGCUCAACGGGGUGAAGUGCCAUUGAUACUGCCAGGCUAGAAUGCGGAUGCCGUGAGAGGAAUGCGUGGGGUAGCAGUGAAAUGCAUAGAUAUCA
rnacentral:rRNA from 1 species